UACGUAGGGGGCAAGCGUUGUCCGGAAUUAUUGGGCGUAAAGCGCGCGCAGGCGGCUUCUUAAGUCUGAUGUGAAAGCCCACGGCUCAACCGUGGAGGGUCAUUGGAAACUGGGGAGCUUGAGUGCAGAAGAGGAGAGUGGAAUUCCACGUGUAGCGGUGGAAUGCGUAGAGAUCCGGAGGAAGACCGGUGGCGAAGGCGGGUCUCUGGACAGUUCCUGACGCUGAGGCACGAAGGUCAGGGGAGCAAACGGG
rnacentral:rRNA from 1 species